CUACGGGCCGCUCCAGUGGGGAAUAUUGCACAAUGGGCGCAAGCCUGAUGCAGCCAUGCCGCGUGUAUGAAGAAGGCCUUCGGGUUGUAAAGUACUUUCAGCGGGGAGGAAGGGAGUAAAGUUAAUACCUUUGCUCAUUGACGUUACCCGCAGAAGAAGCACCGGCUAAACCCGUGCCAGCGGCCGCGGUAAUACGGAGGGUGCAAGCGUUAAUCGGAAUUACUGGGCGUAAAGCGCACGCAGGCGGAUUGUUAAGUCAGAUGUGAAAUCCCCGGGCUCAACCUGGGAACUGCAUCUGACACUGGCAAGCUUGAGUCUCGUAGAGGGGGGUAGAAUUCCAGGUGUAGCGGUGAAAUGCGUAGAGAUCUGGAGGAAUACCGGUGGCGAAGGCGGCCCCCUGGACGAAGACUGACGCCCAGGUGCGAAAGCGUGGGGAGCAAACAGGAUUAGAUACCCCGGUAGUC
rnacentral:rRNA from 1 species